GAGACAUCUUAUAUCCCUGUCUAAUUAAUGGCUCCCUUUCUUCCCCCCCGUAAUAAUUCAGGAUGAAGGACAAUAAAUAAAGGGUGCUGCUGUGGCACAAGUUUUUGUCUGGAGAAGAAGGAAGGAUUCAAUUAAAGAACAUUUCCUGAAGACAGCUACCACAGAGUUACAGCAGGAAUCCUAACUACAACUGGAUGCCUGGCAUUGUGCUUCUCUUGGACUUCUUCACAGCCACGUACCACCUUUAAGAGAUGACAUUCACAGAGAGCAUACCUCCCCCUCCCCAGACUGUCUUUCACCUCCUCCUUACUCUCAAUACAAAUCACAAUGUCAUCUGCAAA